rnacentral:rRNA from 1 species
CGCAGCCGCGGUAAUUCCAGCUCCAAUAGCGUAUAUUAAAGUUGUUGCAGUUAAAAAGCUCGUAGUUGAAUUUCGGGAUCAAUAUAUUGGUCGUGCCUUCGGUACGUACUGGUAUCGUUGAUUUCUACCUUCUGACGAACCAUGAUGUCAUUUAUUUGGUGUCAUGGGAAAUCAGGACUGUUACUUUGAAAAAAUUAGAGUGUUUAAAGCAGGCACACGCUUGAAUACAUUAGCAUGGAAUAAUGAAAUAGGACGUUUGACCCUAUUUUGUUGGUUUCUAGGGUCGACGUAAUGAUUAAUAGGGAUAGUUGGGGGCAUUAGUAUUCAAUUGUCAGAGGUGAAAUUCUUGGAUUUAUUGAAGACUAACUACUGCGAAAGCAUUUGCCAAGGAUGUUUUCAUUAAUCAAGAACGAAAGUUAGGGGAUCGAAGACGAUCAGAUACCGUCGUAGUCUUAACCAUAAACUAUGCCGACUAGGGAUCGGAUGAUGUUAAUUUUUAAUGACUCAUUCGGCGCCUUAC